rnacentral:lncRNA from 1 species
GGGUAUUUUUGACCUAAAAAUUUACAAAGAUUCUUCAUAAAUUAUAUACCUUAAUGGACAUUGGAGCAUACCCGAUGCUUGUAUGGAAGUGAACUUACAUGUGAUCGAGGCCAAGCAAUAACAUAAUCAAUAGUAAACCUUACUGUCUGGAUUGGAUUCUUUUCAUACAAUCUAAUAAGUCUCGCAUUGUCAAGAUUUGAAAUGCUGUCAUGAACAGAAACACCAACAUAUUGCUCUCCAAGCAUGCUUCCUCAAACCACAUAUGUGAUAUGUUUAUUCACUAAAGUUCCUUUGGCCACAACUUCACUUGUGUUUGUCGGAUUCUUCGAAAACAAUUACUUCAACCUUUUCCCUAUUAUUUCAAGAAAAAUCGCACUUAUUUCAGUACGAAUACGCAUGAAUGGACACACUAAUCAGGGAAUAUAAUUGACAGGUCUUUAUCAUGUAUAACAAAUGCACUAAAUCAUCAACCUUAUUAUGUACAUAUUGAUUCUAUCUGGUUCCUAGUUGUACCAUAUAAACUUCUAAAGUGAACUCUUUUCUAUGUCAGCUCCAGCAUUUUACAUAGUGGUCAUCAGUGAUAUUAUUACCAUGACAAAGAGGCGAACUCAUCUUAUCAUGUACUACAGAUUUCCAUGAUUAUCUCAUUUUGUUGCAUUAGGGUCACUUGCUACUGCUGUUGCUACUAGUUCAUGAGUACCAUUUAUUCUUUUGUGAAACUAGUAUUAGCAGUUCUUUGGAAAUAAAUAGUAUUAGCACAUGUAUUACGAAAAUCUUGGAAAUAAUUAUUUCCAUGAUGAUAUCAUGUUGCUUGUAAAAAAAAUAGCAGCAUGCAAAAUACCCUACUUGUACAAAACAGGACACUACGUUUCUUCUGACCUGUGGUUUGAAUAUACCUGGCUAGUGAACUGCUCGUCUUGGUAUGGUUGAUUCUGCACCUUGAUUAGCCCUAUCAAACUUUUCAAUGUGUGCCUCUACAGUUGAGGUUCCUUUCGGUUGUAAGUAAACUUGUACAAAAUAAAGGCAUUGUUUAAUAACGAAGCAGAAACUUCUAUACACGCAGACAUUGUUUGAUACCUUAGCAACGAUGUGUUCAUGUCGUAAAGACGAUCUGGUGUAACCCUCUUUGGCUCUCGCACAAUUGCUAGGAUGCAAUUCCUGCAACUUAUGAUGAACAAUUGUUUUUAAGUAUGAGAAAAAACUAGCGCUAACUUAGUAGUGAAGAAACUAUUUCAUCACCUGCAUAACAUUCUGUGGAGCAUCCACAUUGUCAGGUGCUUCUACAUGUGGUAGGUCACUGCCAACAACUCUUCUGCUGAACCUGAAACAAGAACACGAUAAUAAUAUAUUAAUACCCACACUUUUAUCUUCGGAGAAAGAGAUGUUGAUAUAC